ensembl:snoRNA
AAUGCCCCUUGAGGCGUUGCAGCUCAACUGAGUGUUGCAGCUGUGUCAUAAGGUGGCAGAGAGAGACUGGUGGUGGUCUGCACUGAAACUCUACGCCCAUGGAGGAUUCAGAGUCAUGCUCACCACGCACA